rnacentral:rRNA from 1 species
UACAGAGGGGGCAAGCGUUGUUCGGAAUUACUGGGCGUAAAGGGCGCGUAGGCGGCCCGCUAAGUCGAACGUGAAAUCCCCGAGCUCAACUCGGGAACUGCGUCCGAUACUGGUGGGCUUGAAUCCGGGAGAGGGAUGCGGAAUUCCAGGUGUAGCGGUGAAAUGCGUAGAUAUCGCUUGGAACGCCAGUGGUGAAAACGGGUCGCUGGGGGACAU